GGGCGGAUCACACCAGUGACAUGAGAGUUGCUCUGGUAGCAGUGGAAAUGCUACUUGUAAAACCAUCCUUAGCUCCAGGAUCGUAGAGCUAUCACUGAGACAAUUGCGCAGUGAGUGACAAGAGAGAUAAGCGGAGAAUGUGAGCCAUCUAUGAGACAGCUAAACUGGGCUGACCAUGUGCAAAGGGAAAUAUUGCAGGAUCCUCAGGCAAUCACUCAAAGACACACAGGAGCAAUACCAGGAGUAAAGCAAGCUGAGAGCCGGAACAAUAUAAGAAAAGAGCCUACCAUGUGCCAGAGGACAACUUCAAUAAAAAACACCAGGUCAGCGGAUAAGACCAUGUCACUCACAGGUUUGUGACUUGAGGCCUGAGCACCAAUGAUCCACUCCACAUCAGUGGAGAAUGUUGGAAAGUAAGGACGCUGUGGACAUUUUCUGAAGUUGGAGAAAUGGAAUGGUGGAGAAGCCAGUAUUGGGGUACCAUGAGUGGAGCAGAGUUGACUACAAAUCUCAAUAAAGCUUUUCAACUGUAUACCUAACUGCAAAGUCAUUUACUCACAACAAGCAAAAAAAUAAAUAUAUACUUAUCUCCCUUCCAAAUUUAAUCCUUUGACAAUAGAUAAUAAUGAAAUGAACUUAUUCUCUUCAGCUUCCAGGAUGAUACAGCUUCUAGAUAAAACUUCUGGGCUAAUCUUAUUAUUGCAUAACGUUCCUACUCAGGGUAAAAGAAUGACUAAGAAGUGUUGUGAAAGAAUCUUGCUUCUGGGGUCUCCACGGAAUCACACAUCCCACUGUCUCUGCCCCACUUCCCUUCUCUCCCUCAGGCAGCUGAUGACUUGGGCCUGCUGUGAUUUCUCCCUCCGCUAAACUGUCCACUCCACUCACUCAUCACUUAAAACUCUCUCAACUUUGUUAUCUUUGUACAGCACAAGUCUUGUCUUUUCAAUAGAUUUCGAACACCUUAUGAGCAAGAAAUAUGAAUUACACCUUUUAACAUCUGAAAUUGCUCCUA
rnacentral:lncRNA from 1 species